UCUGGUGACUACAGCAAGGAGGUCACACCUGUUCCCAUGCCGAACACAGAAGUUAAGCUCCUUAGCGCCGAUGGUAGUCGGACUUACGU
rnacentral:rRNA from 1 species